GAAAUGCGAUACGUAAUGUGAAUUGCAAAUUCAGUGAAUCAUCGAGUCUUUGAACGCACAUUGCGCCCCCUGGUAUUCCGGGGGGCAUGCCUGUCCGAGCGUCAUUGCUGCCCUCAAGCCCGGCUUGUGUGUUGGGCCCCGUCCUCCGAUUCCGGGGGACGGGCCCGAAAGGCAGCGGCGGCACCGCGUCCGGUCCUCGAGCGUAUGGGGCUUUGUCACCCGCUCCGUAGGCCCGGCCGGCGCUUGCCGAUCAACCCAAAUUUUUAUCCAGGUUGACCUCAGGUCAGGCGGGGCUACCCGCUGAGUUUAA
rnacentral:misc_RNA from 1 species